AUCUAUGGCCAUAUCACACAGAACAUGCCGGAUCAUGUGUGAUCCCGGAAACUAAGCAGGGUCGGGCCUGGUUGGCACUGGAAUGGGACAACGGGCUAAGGCGCAUGUUGCUU
rnacentral:rRNA from 1 species